AACGGGUGAGUAACACGUGAGUAACCUNCCCUUAACUCUGGGAUAAGCCUGGGAAACUGGGUCUAAUACCGGAUAUGACUCCUCAUCGCAUGGUGGGGGGUGGAAAGCUUUAUUGUGGUUUUGGAUGGACUCGCGGCCUAUCAGCUUGUUGGUGAGGUAAUGGCUUACCAAGGCGACGACGGGUAGCCGGCCUGAGAGGGUGACCGGCCACACUGGGACUGAGACACGGCCCAGACUCCUACGGGAGGCAGCAGUGGGGAAUAUUGCACAAUGGGCGCAAGCCUGAUGCAGCGACGCCGCGUGAGGGAUGACGGCCUUCGGGUUGUAAACC
rnacentral:rRNA from 1 species